rnacentral:misc_RNA from 1 species
UCGUAACAAGGUUUCCGUAGGUGAACCUGCGGAAGGAUCAUUACUGAGUGCGGGCUGCCUCCGGGCGCCCAACCUCCCACCCGUGAAUACCUAACACUGUUGCUUCGGCGGGGAGCUCCCUCGGGGGCGAGCCGCCGGGGACUACUGAACUUCAUGCCUGAGAGUGAUGCAGUCUGAGUCUGAAUAUAAAAUCAGUCAAAACUUUCAACAAUGGAUCUCUUGGUUCCGGCAUCGAUGAAGAACGCAGCGAACUGCGAUAAGUAAUGUGAAUUGCAGAAUUCAGUGAAUCAUCGAGUCUUUGAACGCACAUUGCGCCCCCUGGCAUUCCGGGGGGCAUGCCUGUCCGAGCGUCAUUGCUGCCCAUCAAGCCCGGCUUGUGUGUUGGGUCGUCGUCCCCCCCGGGGGACGGGCCCGAAAGGCAGCGGCGGCACCGUGUCCGGUCCUCGAGCGUAUGGGGCUUUAUCACCCGCUCGACUAGGGCCGGCCGGGCGCCAGCCGACGUCUCCAACCAUUUUUCUUCAGGUUGACCUCGGAUCAGGUAGGGAUACCCGCUGAACUUAAGCAUAUCAAUAAGCGGAGGAAAA